rnacentral:rRNA from 1 species
UACAGAGGGGGCAAGCGUUGUUCGGAAUUACUGGGCGUAAAGGGCGCGUAGGCGGCCAACUAAGUCAGACGUGAAAUCCCCAGGCUCAACCUGGGAACUGCGUCUGAUACUGGAUGGCUUGAGUUCGGGAGAGGGAAGUGGAAUUCCAGGUGUAGCGGUGAAAUGCGUAGAUAUCUGGAGGAACACCGGUGGCGAAGGCGGCUUCCUGGACCGACACUGACGCUGAGGCGCGAAAGCCAGGGGAGCAAACGGG